CGCGGGCCUGGGGCCGGGGAGGCGGCGCGGAGGGGCGCGGCGGGCCCUUCGAGCUUAUUCACGCUCUCCUUCCGGAGCCCCGCGGCUCCUGGGGGUCUUCACGUGGCAGCCCCUUCCCCCUCCUCAGUUCCUGGACCUGACGUUUCUGCCGUCACACCCCGCAAGGCCACUGCGGUGUCGCCACCCUCUCGUCCUGCAGGGUGGGCAGGAGAGGAAGCUGGACUCCCGUGGGGGCCUGGGGCGCAGCGAGGGCUGUGGCGUCGGGGGCCGGGAGAAGAAGAGUAGGGGAGCCCAAAGUAGCCCAGGAGUCUUUAGCGGAGGAACCUGGGCCUGGGAGGGAAGGCCCAGCGGGGAUUCAGGUACCACCCAGGAGCUGGAGACCCGAGGGACGGCAGAGAAGUUGGGGAAGGUGGGCCAACCUCCCCAGAAAUGAUGAGCAACGGGAUCCUCUAUGAGGGAGCUGGGGGAACGCGCCAGAGGUAGGGGUGAGAGGAAUGGGCAGCCUCAGCAAGGGAGAGAGGAAAGGCUGUCAGUGCCACGCUCCAGAGCCUGGCAUCCAGGACCCACCUUCGGACCAUUUGUGGCACGAUGGACGCUCCCAGAGCUCACGUUAGGGUAAUAGAGAGUGAAGGAGACCAGCAGCUUGGCCAAGAGGGGCCCCCAGGGGAUGAGGAGGACGGUUUCCUGGAGAAGUUAAUGUUCCCGGAGACCAGAAUUGGCAGGGAGAGCCCAUGACUUGUGGGGCAGUUCCCCUGGUUGGGAGCGGGGAAAUGCAUGGUCCUGGCCCAGCCUGGCUCCAUCGAGAUGGAGGAAGGGUCUAAAUGAGAGGAGUGUGUUCAGACGAGGAGCUGGACCAGGAUGGGGAGGGCUGUGCAAGGCAUGGCCGGAAGAGCGGGGCAGGGAGAGAAAGGUCGA
rnacentral:lncRNA from 1 species